CUCGUAGGCGGUUCGUCGCGUCCGGUGUGAAAGUCCAUCGCUUAACGGUGGAUCCGCGCCGGGUACGGGCGGGCUGGAGUGCGGUAGGGGAGACUGGAAUUCCCGGUGUAACGGUGGAAUGUGUAGAUAUCGGGAAGAACACCAAUGGCGAAGGCAGGUCUCUGGGCCGUUACUGACGCUGAGGAGCGAAAGCGUGGGGAGCAAACA
rnacentral:rRNA from 1 species